GGAGGGAUGGCUGAGUGGUCGAAAGCGGCGGUCUUGAAAACCGUUGAGUGUCACAGCUCCGUGGGUUCGAAUCCUACUCCCUCCGCCA
rnacentral:tRNA from 3 species